GAUUGAACGCUGGCGGCAGGCCUACCACAUGCAAGUCGAACGGUAACAGGAAGAAGCUUGCUUCUUUGCUGACGAGUGGCGGACGGGUGAGUAAUGUCUGGGAAACUGCCUGAUGGAGGGGGAUAACUACUGGAAACGGUAGCUAAUACCGCAUAACGUCGCAAGACCAAAGAGGGGGACCUUCGGGCCUCUUGCCAUCGGAUGUGCCCAGAUGGGAUUAGCUAGUAGGUGGGGUAACGGCUCACCUAGGCGACGAUCCCUAGCUGGUCUGAGAGGAUGACCAGCCACACUGGAACUGAGACACGGUCCAGACUCCUACGGGAGGCAGCAGUGGGGAAUAUUGCACAAUGGGCGCAAGCCUGAUGCAGCCAUGCCGCGUGUAUGAAGAAGGCCUUCGGGUUGUAAAGUACUUUCAGCGGGGAGGAAGGGAGUAAAGUUAAUACCUUUGCUCAUUGACGUUACCCGCAGAAGAAGCACCGGCUAACUCCGUG
rnacentral:rRNA from 1 species